rnacentral:rRNA from 1 species
CGUAUAUUAAAGUUGUUGCAGUUAAAAAGCUCGUAGUUGGAUUUGUGGUGACAGUUGUGGUCCAUUUUUGGUACUAACGAUUGUUGCCAUCCUUGGGUGGAACCUGUGUGGCAUUAACUUGUCGUGCAGGGGAUGCCCAUCGUUUACUGUGAAAAAAUCAGCGCGUUCAAAGCAGGCUUAUGCCGUUGAAUGUCUUAGCAUGGAAUAAUAAGAUAGGACCUUGGUGCUAUUUUGUUGGUUUGCGUACCGAGGUAAUGAUUAAUAGGGACAGUUGGGGGUAUUCGUAUUCCAUUGUCAGAGGUGAAAUUCUUGGAUUUCUGGAAGACGAACUACUGCGAAAGCAUUUACCAAGGAUGUUUUCAUUAAUCAAGAACGAAAGUUAGGGGAUCGAAGAUGAUUAGAUACCAUCGUAGUCUUAACCAUAAACUAUGCCGACAAGGGAUUGGUGGGGUUUCGUUACGUCUCCAUCAGCACCUUAUGAGAAAUCACAAGUUUUUGGGUUCCGGGGGGAGUAUGGUCGCAAGG